UACAGAGGUCCCAAGCGUUGUUCGGAUUCAUUGGGCGUAAAGGGUGCGUAGGCGGCGCGGUAAGUCGGGUGUGAAAUCUCGGGGCUUAACUCCGAAACUGCAUUCGAUACUGCCGUGCUUGAGGACUGGAGAGGAGACUGGAAUUUACGGUGUAGCGGUGAAAUGCGUAGAUAUCGUGAGGAAGACCAGUGGCGAAGGCGGGUCUCUGGACAGUCCUGACACUGAGACACGAAGGCCAGGG
rnacentral:rRNA from 1 species